GCCCCCAUCGUCUAGUGGACCAGGACGUGGCCCUUUCAAGGCUAAAACUGGAGUUCGAAUCUCCACGGGGGCA
rnacentral:tRNA from 3 species